rnacentral:ncRNA from 1 species
AAAAAAAUUCUUUAUAGUUUGAAAAUUUAUUAUAAAUUUAUUUUACAUAUAAAUUUUAGUAUGAAAUUUUAAUUAUUUUAAAAAUAAUUAUUUUUUUUAAUAGUAAUUAAUAUUAAAAAUUUAAGAAAUUAAGAUUUAGUAAUAUUAAAAUUAAAAACUAAAUUUGUGCCAGCAGUUGCGGUUAAACAAAUUUUAAAAUAAAUUUUUUUGGUUAAAUAAUGAAUAUUUUUGUUUUAAAUUAAAUAUUAAAUUAUUAAGUGAAAUUUUUAAUUUAAUUAAAAAUUAUUUAAAAUUUAUGAAUUAAUAAAUUUUAUCAUAAACUAGGAUUAGAUACCCUAUUAUUAAAAAGUUAAUUUUAAAAACUAAAAAAGUAGGUAAUUUUUAUUGAAACUUAAAUAAUUUGGCGGUAUUUUAGUUCAUUUAGAGGAAUCUGUUUAAUAAUUGAUAAUCCACGAAUAAAUUUACUUAAUUUAUAAUUUUGUAUAUCGUUGUUAUAAAAAUAUUUUUUAAUAAAUAUAAUAUUUAAAAAUUUAAAUUAAAAAUUAAAUCAGAUCAAGAUGCAGAUUAUAAUUAAGAAUAUAAUGGAUUACAAUAAUUUUAUUUAGAUGAAUAUUAAAUUGAAAAAUUUAAUUGAAAGUGGAUUUAAAUGUAAUUUUAUUUAAUUUAUUAAAAUGAUUUAAAAUUAAAAUAUGUACAUAUUGCCCGUCACUUCCAUUUAUAAAUUGGAAUAAGUCGUAACAAAGUAGAGGUACUGGAAAGUGUUUCUAGAAAGAU